rnacentral:tRNA from 1 species
GGUGGCUCAGAGGUAGAGUGUUUGCCUUGCAUGCAUGAGGUUCUGGGUUCAAUUCCUCAGCACCA